rfam:Trichoderma reesei QM6a unplaced genomic scaffold TRIREscaffold_25, whole genome shotgun sequence.
GCCCGGGUAGCUCAAUUGGCCAGAGCGUGCGGCUUUUAACCGCAAGGCUGGGGGUUCGAGCCCCCCCUCGGGCG